GUUCAUUUUUACCGGACAGUGGAGGUGGAUGAAAAGUUGUUAGACAAGAGAAGAGGAAACAGCUAUAUUGGAAGUAGAGCAGGAGAAACUUAAGUUAGAGAUGAGAAACAUGGCAUCACUGACAGGAUAAAGCUGGGAUAUUUCUGAGCCUUGCCAUCAUUUUUGAACUGGUCUUAAAUUAUUGCUCACAGGAGAAAGGAAGAGCAACUGUAGCACCUCUGUUCACUGUUGCUGGCAGACAACAAACUUGAGAUGAAGCCACAUUUGCAGGGGAAAAAUUGCCUACGCCCACAGAAUGAAAUUUCAGGCUUUGACAGUUGCUAGGUUCAGAAAGGGGCUUCCCUGCUGAGGAGCCAUGCUCUUUCCACGAUGAAGAACUAGAGACCGUCUUGUGCAGUGGGCUGGCAGAGAGGAGCCACACAGUGAAGUGUAAAUUGCUCAGGAUCACAAUUCAGAGGACAUGGGUUCUCACCUUGGCUCUAUGACUCAUUUUGUGCCUUUCACCCCUACAAUCUCUCCGAACCUCAGUCUCUGAAUGAAUGAAAUGAGACUGACCAAACCAAUCUGGCUAAAUAUAAAGGUAUAACAUCCUGAUCAAACACAGGAAUUUGUACUUGCAUAGUAGAUGCAUCAAUAGCAUACCUUUGGGACAUUAUUGCUCUUAGGUGCUAUUGUUAACAACGGGCCUCCUAAUCUAGAUGUUCUCACUCUAGUUCUUCCAUGAGGAUUUCUGGGAAGUUUGCCUAUGAGGGAAAGUUAUGACCCACGAUCUACUGUUGCUUUGGGAAGUCUUCAGCAGCUGGUGCCAGCUGUGUUAUCCUGAUACUUUUUUUUGUUUAUUUGUUUGAGAUGGAGUCUUGGUCUGUCACCCAGGCUGGAGUGCCGUGGCAUGAUCUCAGCUCACUGCAACCUCUGCCUCCAGGGUUCAAACAAUUCUCCUGCCUCAGCCUCCCGAGUAGCUGGGAUUACAGGUGCACACCGCCACACCCGGCUAAUUCUUUUGUAUUUUUAGUAGAGAUGGGGCUUCACCAUGUUGGCCAGGCUGGUCUUGAACUCCUGACCUCAGGUGAUCCGCCUGCCUUGGCCUCCCAAAGUGCUGGGAUUACAGGCAGGAGCCACCGCACCCAGCCUCCUGAAACAUUUCAUAAGAGAGGUAUACGUAAUCCUCUGCCAUAUUUAGCAGAGAGUUUCACAGGUUCUGUGAAUUACCUGGUGCUCUUCAGGACAUAGGCAAUGCCACAAAUAUCACACCCAUGGAUGAGGCUACCCAGUCCAUGUCCCUGCAGGGGAAAUUCUCCCACCAUCCCAGAGCCUCCAAAGGAGCACACAGUGAUUUGCCCUAAAGAGUAUCAACUUUGAAAGUUUGUAAACAUGCCUCAAAGGAGACAAUUUGAAAAUUCUAAACACAGGUCAUUGAACAUUUAUUGCUAGUUGUCCUGAUUAUUUUGAGAGGUGAAAAGCACUCAUGUUUAAAUCUACAUUUGGAUCAUCUAGUCUUGCCUACCUAUUCCAUGAGAAUAAAG
rnacentral:lncRNA from 1 species